rnacentral:rRNA from 1 species
CCUACGGGUGGCAGCAGUGGGGAAUAUUGGGCAAUGGCCGCAAGCCUGACCCAGCAACGCCGCGUGAAGGAAGAAGGCGUUCGGGUUCUAAACUUCUUUUCUCAGGGACGAAGCAAGUGACGGUACCUGAGGAAUAAGCCACGGCUAACUACGUGCCAGCAGCCGCGGUAAUCCGUAGGUGGCAAGCGUUAUCCGGAUUUACUGGGUGUAAAGGGCGUGUAGGCGGGACUGCAAGUCAGAUGUGAAAACCACGGGCCCAACCUAUGGCCUGCAUUUGAAACUGUAGUUCUUGAGUACUGGGGAGGCAGACGGAAUGCGUAGUGUAGCGGUGAAAUGCGUAGAUAUUAGGAGGAACACCAGUGGCGAAGGCGGUCUGCUGGACAGCAACUGACGCUGAGGCGCGAAAGCGCGGGGAGCAAACAGGAUUAGAUACCCUAGUAGUC